AGCCGAAACAGCGGACAAGUUCCGCUGUCUGCCGUGAACGGUCGCACGGUACUGAUGAGGCAGACCAAA
rnacentral:hammerhead_ribozyme from 1 species